rnacentral:rRNA from 1 species
AGCGAACGCUGGCGGCAGGCCUAACACAUGCAAGUCGAACGGACCUUUCGGGGUUAGUGGCGGACGGGUGAGUAACACGUGGGAACGUGCCUUUAGGUUCGGAAUAGCUCCUGGAAACGGGUGGUAAUGCCGAAUGUGCCCUUCGGGGGAAAGAUUUAUCGCCUUUAGAGCGGCCCGCGUCUGAUUAGCUAGUUGGUGAGGUAAUGGCUCACCAAGGCGACGAUCAGUAGCUGGUCUGAGAGGAUGGCCAGCCACAUUGGGACUGAGACACGGCCCAAACUCCUACGGGAGGCAGCAGUGGGGAAUCUUGCGCAAUGGGCGAAAGCCUGACGCAGCCAUGCCGCGUGGAUGAUGAAGGUCUUAGGAUUGUAAAAUCCUUUCACCGGUGAAGAUAAUGACUGUAGCCGGAGAAGAAGCCCCGGCUAACUUCGUGCCAGCCGCCGCCGUAAGAC